UACGUAGGGUGCAAGCGUUGUCCGGAAUUAUUGGGCGUAAAGAGCUCGUAGGCGGUUUGUCGCGUCUGCUGUGAAAACGCGAGGCUCAACCUCGCGCCUGCAGUGGGUACGGGCAGACUAGAGUGCGGUAGGGGAGAUUGGAAUUCCUGGUGUAGCGGUGGAAUGCGCAGAUAUCAGGAGGAACACCGAUGGCGAAGGCAGAUCUCUGGGACCGUAACUGACGCUGAGGAGCGAAAGCGUGGGGAGCGAACAG
rnacentral:rRNA from 1 species